rnacentral:rRNA from 1 species
AACGCAGCGAAGGGCGAUAAGUAAUGUGAAUUGCAGAAUUCAGUGAAUCAUCGAAUCUUUGAACGCACAUUGCGCCCCUUGGCAUUCCGAGGGGCAUGCCUGUUCGAGCGGCAUUACAACCCCUCAAGCUCUGCUUGGUAUUGGGCACCACCGGCUCUGGUGUGCCUCAAAACCAGUGGCGGUGCCGCGUGGCCCUAAGCGUAGUAACCUCCUCGCUAUAGGACCCGGCGGGCGCCUGCCACCAACCCCUAAUCUUCUCAAAGGUUGACCUCGGAUCAGGUAGGGAUACCCGCUGAACUUAA